AACGAACGCUGGCGGCAUGCCUAACACAUGCAAGUCGAACGAGCCCUUCGGGGCUAGUGGCGCACGGGUGCGUAACGCGUGGGAAUCUGCCCUCCGGUUCGGAAUAACUCAGGGAAACUUGAGCUAAUACCGGAUAAUGACUUCGGUCCAAAGAUUUAUCGCCAGAGGAUGAGCCCGCGUCGGAUUAGCUAGUUGGUGAGGUAAAAGCUCACCAAGGCGACGAUCCGUAGCUGGUCUGAGAGGAUGAUCAGCCACACUGGGACUGAGACACGGCCCAGACUCCUACGGGAGGCAGCAGUGGGGAAUAUUGGACAAUGGGCGAAAGCCUGAUCCAGCAAUGCCGCGUGAGUGAUGAAGGCCUUAGGGUUGUAAAGCUCUUUUACCCGGGAUGAUAAUGACAGUACCGGGAGAAUAAGCCCCGGCUAACUCCGUGCCAGCCGCCACCGUAACAC
rnacentral:rRNA from 1 species